AGCGAACGCUGGCGGCAGGCUUAACACAUGCAAGUCGAACGGGCAUAGCAAUAUGUCAGUGGCAGACGGGUGAGUAACGCGUGGGAACGUACCUUUUGGUUCGGAACAACACAGGGAAACUUGUGCUAAUACCGGAUAAGCCCUUACGGGGAAAGAUUUAUCGCCGAAAGAUCGGCCCGCGUCUGAUUAGCUAGUUGGUAGGGUAAUGGCCUACCAAGGCGACGAGCAGUAGCUGGUCUGAGAGGAUGAUCAGCCACAUUGGGACUGAGACACGGCCCAAACUCCUACGGGAGGCAGCAGUGGGGAAUAUUGGACAAUGGGCGAAAGCCUGAUCCAGCCAUGCCGCGUGAGUGAUGAAGGCCAUAGGGUUGUAAAGCUCUUUUGUGCGGGAAGAUAAUGACGGUACCGAAAGAAUAAGCCCCGGCUAACUUCGUG
rnacentral:rRNA from 1 species